UUGCUGGGGACGUCGAAGGCCCAGGCGGAUUGGUACCCCGACGUCUGCGUUUACGCGGUCGAAGGGGGAAACCUCUGGUGUCCUGGCUGCCCUGCGACGGUCGUGUAGCAGAGGGGCGAACACUCGCCAAUACUUCCUCUCGCGGCGUGCAAAAGGUCGGUGACCCACCCGACCCGUCUUGAAACACGGACCAAGGAGUCUAACAUGUGUGCGAGUCAUUGGGCGCACUAAACCCAGAGGCGUAAUGAAAGUGAAAGGGGGGCGUCCCGGGGUCUUCGGGCCUCGGUCGGCGCCCUCCGGGGCCGAUCCCCGACCGGCUGUUGCCGUUGCGUCUUCCAUUCCAAAGCGGGGUCAUCCCAAAGGGGGUGCGCGGGAUGAGUCCCUCUCUCCCGUUGCUUACCUCCGGCCUCGUGGGGACGCGGCGCGCACGGUGGUCCGUCGCUUGCGGCGCUCGUACGCGGGGGGGCGCAGGCCCGGGACUUGCCAUUCGACGCCGUCGCGCAAAUCUGUUGUUGGCUUCGCCGGCUUUGCUUGGGCUCUCGGUUGGCGCGCCGCGCGUCAGGCGGGCCUUGGGCGGGGGCUUCGGCUCUCGUUCGGGUUCGUCCCGCGCGGUUUU
rnacentral:rRNA from 1 species